AGCAUAUCAAUAAGCGGAGGAAAAGAAACCAACAGGGAUUGCCCCAGUAACGGCGAGUGAAGCGGCAACAGCUCAAAUUUGAAAUCUGGCCUCGGCCCGAGUUGUAAUUUGCAGAGGAAGCUUCUGGUGCGGCGCCGUCCGAGUCUCCUGGAACGGAGCGCCAUAGAGGGUGAGAGCCCCGUAUGGACGGAUGCCAAACCUGUGUGAAGCUCCUUCGACGAGUCGAGUAGUUUGGGAAUGCUGCUCUAAAUGGGAGGUAAAUUCCUUCUAAAGCUAAAUAUUGGCCAGAGACCGAUAGCGCACAAGUAGAGUGAUCGAAAGAUGAAAAGCACUUUGAAAAGAGGGUUAAACAGCACGUGAAAUUGUUGAAAGGGAAGCGCUUGUGACCAGACUUGAGCGCGGCGGAUCAUCCGGUGUUCUCACCGGUGCACUCCGCCGUGCCCAGGCCAGCAUCGGUUUCCACGGGGGGACAAAGGUCCCGGGAACGUAGCUCCCUCGGGAGUGUUAUAGCCCGGGGCGCAAUGCCCCCGCGGGGACCGAGGACCGC
rnacentral:rRNA from 1 species